rnacentral:rRNA from 1 species
GGGUGAGUAACACGUAUGCAACCUGGCCGUCACAGGUGGAUAACCGGAAGAAAUUCCGACUAAUACAGCAUAACACUCCUGAGGGACAUCCUUCGGGAGUCAAAGGAGGUAACUCCGGUGACGGAUGGGCAUGCGGCGCAUUAGGUAGUUGGUAGGGUAACGGCCUACCAAGCCGACGAUGCGUAGGGGUUCUGAGAGGAAGGUCCCCCACAUUGGAACUGAGACACGGUCCAAACUCCUACGGGAGGCAGCAGUGAGGAAUAUUGGUCAAUGGCCGGAAGGCUGAGCCAGCCAAGUCGCGUGAGGGAAUGAGGCCCUAUGGGUCGUAAACCUCUUUUGUCAGGGAGCAAAGGCGUCCACGUGUGGACGAGAGGAGAGUACCUGAAGAAAAAGCAUCGGCUAACUCCGUGCCAGCAGCCGCGGUAAUACGGAGGAUGCGAGCGUUAUCCGGAUUUAUUGGGUUUAAAGGGUGCGUAGGCGGAGUGUCAAGUCAGCGGUAAAAUUUCGGGGCUCAACCCCGUCGUGCCGUUGAAACUGACACCCUUGAGUGAGUGAGAAGUAAGCGGAAUGCGUGGUGUAGCGGUGAAAUGCAUAGAUAUCACGCAGAACGCCGAUUGCGAAGGCAGCUUACCGGCGCUCAACUGACGCUGAGGCACGAAAGUGCGGGUAUCGAACAGGAUUAGAUACCCUGGUAGUCCGCACAGUAAACGAU